UUUUUUCCGCGCGAUAGAAGAGUUCUGGUUAGACCAAAAACAAAAUGAAGAAAAAGAAAAAAAGUGAUUGUCGUGUUUAAGCAGAAAGCGAGAGAAAGGUGCCUGGUUUUGUUUUGAUAAGAUCGACUUUGUAGCUUGAGUGGGUGCAGGUUCGUAAGUUUUCUCCUUUCUGCUGCUAUUGCGUUUGUUAGUUUUUGUGUGGUUUGGCUUUUGAUUGGGUCUUUUAUUGUCGGCGGUUUUGAAUUUUUAUGGGUUUUUGAUUGGGUCUUUUGCUGUGAGGAAGAAGAAGACCUGCACUAGCUGCUAUAUCCUUUCAGUAUAUAGGCGAAUCGAGCUUCAUCUUCGCUGUUCUGUGUGAUCAAAUUUUGCCAUCGACGUCAACCUUGGUGGGAUUUUAAUUAGAUGUGAAGGAAGUAUGAGUUUUAAAAUUGAAGCUGAAGCAGCAGAGGAUAAGGGGUCAAGGCACAUCAUGAUAAUUGGUUUUGUUUAUUAUGCUCACUGUUUAGGUCUGAUGUAGUAUUGUGAAUGAAGUAUUGUUGGGAGGUGUUUCGUAAAGUUUCGAAAUUUGAAUGUUAAGGUGUGCAGAUUUUGCAAUUCAUGAUGAGCUUGGAGGUUGAUUAGCUGCAGAAUAUGCUAAGAAGGGUUUGCAUACAUGUGAGUUGCAUUACCAUUUGAUUGAGAAAGCUGUCGAGAAAGCCAUUCUGCAUGGUGAAUGUAUUUGAGUUUUGAUUACAAGGGCUAUGGCUGGUUGCUUCUUAUGAAUUAGCAAGUCUAAAGCAUUUUUUAGUGGAUAAAUAAGUGGAUGGUGCACUUCAGCAACUCAGCUUCAACAUUUUUCGAUAGCUUCUGCAAUGACCAUAAAAUUCCUACAAGAUCUACAGAGAUUGGAAGCAGGAAAAAGAGUACAUCAACACAAUUAAUGAUCUGUGAUUGUAGUUACAGUUGCCACUGAUUUUGGAGUGAAACCUACUUUUGCUCUUUGGGUUUAACAUAAACAUACUACCACGCCUACUACGUAACAUUAAAAGAUCAAUUGUAUUACAACUUUAACUAUCAUAUAACAAUGAUUCCCGCAGCAAAGCGCGGGCUUACUUUCUA